rnacentral:rRNA from 1 species
AAACUUAAAGGAAUUGACGGGGACCCGCACAAGCGGUGGAUGAUGUGGUUUAAUUCGAUGCAACGCGAAAAACCUUACCCACCUUUGACAUGUACGGAAUUUGCCAGAGAUGGCUUAGUGCUCGAAAGAGAGCCGUAACACAGGUGCUGCAUGGCUGUCGUCAGCUCGUGUCGUGAGAUGUUGGGUUAAGUCCCGCAACGAGCGCAACCCUUGUCAUUAGUUGCUACAUUUAGUUGGGCACUCUAAUGAGACUGCCGGUGACAAACCGGAGGAAGGUGGGGAUGACGUCAAGUCCUCAUGGCCCUUAUAGGUGGGGCUACACACGUCAUACAAUGGCUGGUACAAAGGGUUGCCAACCCGCGAGGGGGAGCUAAUCCCAUAAAACCAGUCGUAGUCCGGAUCGCAGUCUGCAACUCGACUGCGUGAAGUCGGAAUCGCUAGUAAUCGUGGAUCAGAAUGUCACGGUGAAUACGUUCCCGGGUCUUGUACACACCGCCCGUCACACCAUGGGAGCGGGUUCUGCCAGAAGUAGUUAGCCUAACCGCAAGGAGGGCGAUUACCACGGCAGGGUUCGUGACUGGGGUGAAGUCGUAACAAGGUAGCCGUAUCGGAAGGUGCGGCUGGAUCACCUCCUUUCUG